rnacentral:rRNA from 1 species
AUGCAGUCGAGCGGAACGAUGGUAGCUUGCUACCAGGCGUCGAGCGGCGGACGGGUGAGUAAUACUUAGGAAUCUACCUAGUAGUGGGGGAUAGCUCGGGGAAACUCGAAUUAAUACCGCAUACGACCUACGGGAGAAAGGGGGCAACUUGUUGCUCUCGCUAUUAGAUGAGCCUAAGUCGGAUUAGCUAGAUGGUGGGGUAAAGGCCUACCAUGGCGACGAUCUGUAGCUGGUCUGAGAGGAUGAUCAGCCACCCCGGGACUGAGACGCGGCCCGGACUCCUACGGGAGGCAGCAGUGGGGAAUAUUGGACAAUGGGGGCAACCCUGAUCCAGCCAUGCCGCGUGUGUGAAGAAGGACUUUUGGUUGCAAAGCACUUUAAGCAGUGAAGAAGACUCCGUGGUUAAUACCGAUGGACGAUGACAUUACCUGCAGAAUGAGCACCGGCUAACUCUGUGACAGCAGCCGCGGUAAUACAGAGGGUGCCAGCGUUAAUCGGAAUUACUGGGCGUAAAGCGAGCGUAGGUGGGUAAAGCGAGCGUAGGUGGGUUGAUAAGUCAGAUGUGAAAUCCCCGGGCUUAACCUGGGAACUGCAUCUGAUACUGUUAGGCUAGAAGAGGUGAGAGGAAGGUAGAAUUCCAGGUGUAGCGGUGAAAUGCGUAAAGAUCUGGAGGAAUACCGAUGGCGAAGGCAGCCUUCUGGCAUCAUAUUGACACUGAGGUUCGAAAGCGUGGGUAGCAAACAGGAUUAGAUACCCUGGUAGUCCACGCCGUACACAAUGUCUACUAGUCGUUGGGUCCCUUGAGGACUUAAUGACCCACCUAACGCAAUAAGUAGACCGCCGGGGGAGUACGGCCGCAAGGUUAAAACUCAGUGAGUUGACGGGGGCCCGCACAAGCGGUGGAUCAUGU